rnacentral:misc_RNA from 1 species
GGAAAAUAAAUGCAUCUUAAGAACCAUCGCACAUCAGAAACAUUUUGAAGUUGAAUAUAGUGAUUAGUUUUGAUUAUUAAGCAAAUUAGUUUUGAUUUAGUAAUUUCACCAGGAAUAAUAAAAUUAAACAUGCAUCCAAUCAAAUAAACAAAAGAUUGGUAGCUAACUGCUAACUAAAUCUUGAAACCAAAAUUGCAAAUUUCAAGGGAAUCUGCUACCCUGCCACUAUAAUCAACUACUUUAAAACCGAGGUCACUCAGUCUCAAAUUAAUAUAACAUCUCAGCAACACUCUCUGUUAUUCUACUAGGACGAAUUUAAGGGAGAUAGAACGAGACAUGAGACUUCUAAUCAGAUACACACAUUCAAUUCAAGCAUACGUGCAAAAUGCCUAUCAAAAACUGCAAAAUGCCUAUCAAAACUAAGUGAUUGCAAAUUUAUAAUUUUCAGGCAUGAACCACAAAAAUGGCACAACCAUGUAAUGUUUGUAAAUCAAUAUAAUUGCGCGCAUACUUCAUCCGAAUUUCUCUAACAAUUUCAAAAACAUUCCUCUAAAACAGCCACACAAACACAUCCUUUAAGAAGAACCUAAUAGUUGCCACCCUUUUACCAGUUUACUAAUUCAAGUUAAAAACAUAUAAGCAUACAACUAGUACAUAGGUUAAACUGACAAAACUACAAUACCUUUUUU